GAGAUCUGAGAAGCGGGAAAAUGGCGCCGAUGUGAGCGAGAGACCGUGUCGCCGAGGAAGACGCCCCUGCUGGAGCCAGAGCCUCCGAAGGCACGGGAACCAGAGGUGUAACUGAGUAGAGGAUGGAGACAGUAGCUCGGUCUGCCCUUAUCUCCCGUAUCUUGCUGGUGACUCAGAAAGUGGAAUGACUGGGUAAUAUCUGGAGGAACCAUCCAGGCCCAGCUCGGACACGCUGACCACUGUAGAAUCCAGCUCCGGUGAGCCAGACAAGGAGGUGGCAUCUCCAGAUGGGGCAGCUCCAGCCACUUUUUCCUCCGUGGAGGAGCCCAGCCCUAACCCAACAGCCAUGCCACCAGUGUGGGACCAUGGAGGACCUCUGCAGCAAGUUGCCUAUCCAGCCUCAGACAGUUGCCAGACUGGCUCAACCAACACAGGCGUGGGGACCAAUGAGGACCUUCGGUUGCCCAGACGCCGUCCACCGCCAGGGAAACAAAUACCCUGCUCUAGCCCCGGCUGCUGCCUCAGUUUCCCCAGUGUUCGUGAUCUAGCACAGCAUCUCCGUACCCACUGCCCACCCACACAGUCACUGGAAGGCAAACUCUUCCGAUGCUCCGCGCUGAGCUGCACUGAGAGUUUCCCCAGCAUGCAGGAGCUGGUAGCCCACGGCAAGCUGCAUUACAAGCCCAACCGCUACUUCAAGUGUGAGAAUUGCCUCCUGCGCUUCCGCACUCACCGUUCACUCUUCAAGCAUCUGCAUGUUUGUAUAGACCAUGGUCAGAACCCAGCCCCGCCACCACCCCCUGCCCUGGACAAAGAGCCACCUGUACCCGAGCGUCCCCCAGAGUCCGACCCUUCGUCUUCCCUGGGCCUGCCAUUCCCACUACUUGAGCCUUUUACCUCUGCCCCCACUGGGCCCUUCCUUCCAUACUUGAACCCUGCACCCUUUGGCCUGAGUCCCCCUCGACUGCGCCCAUUCCUGGCUGCCACUCCAGGGCCACCAGCAUCCAGCACUGCCAUCUGGAAGAAGAGUCAAGGCGCUACCAGUAGUCCCAGAAGACCUCAGGGUGGCUCUGAUGCGCCCUCAGGUGCGUGCAGGUGACCACCAGGGCAGGGUGGAGGGGCCUUCAUUCCUAUGCCCUGUGUGGGCCUUGCGAAUGCUGGAAAGCAGCAGUGCCUGUCCCUUAAAAUACAUGAUUUUUACCUUUAAAA